GCGGGAUGCAUCUGUCAUAGGUGACCUGAAGAGAUUAGAGAUCCUUAGCUUUCGUGGAUCUAAGAUAGAAGAGCUGCCGAGAGAAAUAACGCAUUUAACUCGGCUGAAAUUGUUAGAUCUGAGCGACUGUGACAAACUCAAAGUCAUUCCGGCAAAUGUCAUAUCAAGGUUAUCCCUAUUAGAAGAACUGUAUAUGCUGAAGAGCUUUGGUCAAUGGGAGCUUCAAGGUCUCA
rnacentral:misc_RNA from 1 species